UUUGCUUCCUGACAGUGACCUCUCUUGGGAAAUGUGUUGAGAUGAUUUGUGAAUUCCAGUGAUGGAGGAAGGAAGGAGAAAUCAGUGGCAGUCGGGGAGAAUAAGAGUAAUUUACCUUUUUUUAAACAGUAAGUUCAGUCUUCUGGAAUUCACUGGAAGCAAAUUCAGUAUUUCCAAAAGGGAGCAACACACAGAAAAUGCUGGAGGAACUCAGCAGGCCAGGCAGCAUCCAUGGAAAAAAGUAUGGUCGAUGUUUUAGGCCUCUCUCCCCCUCCCCCAACUGUACUAGAGCACGUUGUCUAGUUCCAUGUGUUCCCAUUAGUUUCCAACUCUGUCAGUAAUGUAGUUUUUAAAAGCAGGUUUUUAUAAGUGUGCUAUUCAGAGACCUGUUUGUGGCUUAAGGUGCCUUGAGAGCAUCGGAAGUCUGGGUGCAUUGCUCAGAUUUCCAGCAUCUGCAGAUUUUCUCUUGUUUCUAAUUCCAAAAGGGAGUUGGAUAAAUAACGGGAAUAAGGAAAAUCUACAGACAGGAGAAUGCAGAGUAGCAUAGUGGUUAGCAUAACACUUUUGUAUGUCCUUCCCUUGACCACAUGGGUUUCCUUGGGGAGCUCCAAUUUUCUUCGACAUUGCAAAGAUAUACAGGUUAGGGUUAGUAAGUUGUGGGCAUGCUAUGGAGGCGCUGGAAUCAUGGCAACACUUGCGUGCUGACCCCAGCACAUCCUCGGACUGUUUUUGGUCGUUGAUGCAAACAACACAUUUCAUUGUACAUGUGACAAGUAAAGCUAAUCUGAUCCCUUUGAUCAGCUCCUUUGCAAAGCUGGCAUGGACACAAUGUCCUGAAUAUCCACCUUUAAUGUUCAGAGAACUAAGGGUUUGUGUGGAACAGGUCCUAUUUAGUUGGAGCUGGUUCAACCGCAGAGGAAUUAAAAUGGAAAAUAUCAGUUUAAAAUAGAGUGAUUUCCCUGUGAGAGAGCAUGGGAAGGAAAAUUCUGGGGAACAGCAGUGUAACUGAAUGGAACAAGGAUGGUGCUUGACAGAUCCUGGGUACAUUUGAGGUCAUCCUUGGAUUGCUUGUGAUUAUUGGUGACCAGAGUUCUUAGAGAAAACCCUUGUGGUCAUGUGGAGAAUGUAUAACUCCUUACAAAUAGUGGUGGGAAUUGAACCCUGGUGCUGUAAAGCAUUACACUGACCACUACGUUACCAUACCACCCUACUAUGCUGCCAUGCCCCUUUCCCCACUAUGUUGUCUAGUUCCUCGUGUUUCCACUAGUUUCCAACUCUGUCAGCAACGUAAUUUUUAAAAGCAGGUUUCUAUAAAUGUGCUCUUCAGGAACCCUUGAGACCAUCGGAAAACUGAUGUGUUACAUAACCUACAUACUGAAGGAGCCAAAUUAUGUUGGUGUUGCUUAAUCCAAGGUGAGAGUGGAUAUAUGGCACAAAACACACAGGAGGCAGCUAAGCAUGAGUGUGUGUGAUAAUAAGACCAUAAGACAUAGGAGCAGAAUUGGGCAUUCAACCCACUGAGUCUUCUCUGCCAUUCAGUCGUGGCUGAUUUAUUAUCUUUCUCAACCCCAUUCUCCUUCCUUCUCCCUGUAACCUUUUGCACCCUGACUAAUCAAGAACCUAUCAAACUCUGCUUUAAAUAUACUGUAUGACGUGCCCUCCACAGCUGUCCAUGGCAAUGAAUUCCACAGAUUCACCACCCUCCGACUAAAGAAAAUCCUCCUCAUCUCUGUUGUACAUGGACAUCCCUCUAUUCUGAGGCUGUGCCCUCCAAUCCUAGACUCCCCAUUAUAGGAAACAUCCUCUCCACUUCCACUCUAUCUAGGUCUUUGAAUAUUCGAUAGGUUACAGUGAGAGCCCCCCACCCCCCCUCAUUCUUCGAAACUCCAGUGAGUGCAGGUCAAGAGCCAUCAAACACUCCUCAUAUGUUAACCCUUUCUGGAAUAAUUCUUGUGAACCUCCUUUAGACAAAGGAUCUAUAUAUGAUGAAUAAACUCUUCUCAGGCUUCCGUCCAGGUACAUCUAUCAAUUUCAAUUGAUGUUUCACUGGAAGACUCUGCCAUCUUCAUCAGAGAUGAUGCCUAGGCAUGUUCAGUCUGGUGGUAUUUAUGCCCCUGUUGACGGUACCUCCUGAUAAGUUAGUCCUCGUCCAAUCAGGUUUCCAUUGUCCCACUGUGUUUGCAAUCAAAUUCCAGUUAGUGCUAGACCUUCAUCUUUGUUAAAAUUCUUUUUCUAUAGUUUCAAUGGCUUCCUUCACCAGGUGGUCCCAAAAGCCAGUGGUGCAGCAGAGUAGUUUUGUGCCGACAGGGGUAUAAAUAUCACCAGACUAGACAUACCCGGGUAUCAUCCCUGAUGAAGAUGGCAGAGUUUGUCAUCGAAAUGUUGGUACCCAGCUGGAAGCCUGAGAAGAGUUUAUUCUUCCUUUGGACACUCUCCAAUGCCAGCACAUCUUUUCUUAGGUAAGAGGCCCAAAACUGUUCACAGUGCUCCAAGUGUGGUGUGGCCAAUGUUUUACGAAGCCUCAGUAUUAAAUCCUUACUUUUAUAUUCUAGUCCCCACAAAAUGAAAGUUAAAAUUGCAUCUGCCUUCCUCACCACUGACUCAACCUGCAAGUUAACAUUAAGGAAAUCCUGCAUGAGGACUGCCAAGUCGCUUUUCUCCUCUGCUUUCUGAAUGUUCUCCCUGGUUAUAAAGUAGUCUUCACUUUUAUUCCACUUACCAAAGUGCAUAACCAUACAUUCCCAAUACUGUAUUCCAUCUAUCGGAUGUGCAUGUGUUGAUAUGCAGAAUCAGUUUUAUUACUACUGACACACGUUACAGAAUUUGUUGUUGUGUAGCAACAUUAAAGUGCAAUAUAUAAAAAUUACUAUAAGUCACAAAUAAAUAAUGGAAAGAAAAGGUGGAGCAGUGACGAUGGAUAGUUGGGUGAGGAGAUGGAUCAUCGAUGGUGCAGACUGUGGGGUAAGGAGCUGAAUCAUACAUGCUGUAGACUGGUGGGUGAGGAGACAGAUCAGUGCUGUCGACUGUUGGGUGGUGAGAUGAAUCAGUGAUGGUGUAGACUGUUGGAUGGGGAGAUGAGUUAUAUAUACUGCAGACUGGUGGGUGAGGAGAUGGAUCAGUGAGUGUAGACUGGUGGGUGGGGAGAUAGAUCAGUGACGGUGUUGACUGGUCAGUGAGGAGAUGGGUCAGUGAUGGUGUAGACUGUUGGGUGAGGAGAUGGGUCACUGAUGGUGUAGAGACUGUUGGGUGAGGAGAUGAGUCAGUGAUGGUGUAGACUGGUCAGUGAGGAGAUGGGUCAGUGAUGGUGUAGACUGUUGGGUGAGGAGAUGGGUCAGUGAUGGUGUAGGCUUUUGGGUGAGGAGGUGGGUCAGUGAUGGUGUAGAGACUGUUGGGUGAGGAGAUGAGUCAGUGAUGGUGUAGACUGGUCAGUGAGGAGAUGGGUCAGUGAUGGUGUAGACUGUUGGGUGAGGAGAUGGGUCAGUGAUGGUGUAGACUGUUGGGUGAGGAGAUGAGUCAGUGAUGGUGUAGACUGGUCAGUGAGGAGAUGGGUCAGUGAUGGUGUAGACUGUUGGGUGAGGAGAUGGGUCACUGAUGGUGUAGAGACUGUUGGGUGAGGAGAUGGGUCAGUGAUGGUGUAGACUGGGGGGUGGGGAGAUGGGUCAGUGAGGAGAUGGGUCAGUGAUGGUGUAGACUGUUGGGUGAGGAGAUGGGUCAGUGAUGGUGUAGACUGGGGGGUGAGGAGAUGGGUCAGUGAUGGUGUAGAGACUGUUGGGUGAGGAGAUGGGUCAGUGAUGGUGUAGACUGGGAGGUGAGGAGCUGGGUCAGUGAUGGUGUAGAGACUGUUGGGUGAGGAGAUGGGUCAGUGAUGGCGUAGACUGGUCAGUGAGGAGAUGGGUCAGUGAUGGUGUAGACUGGUCAGUGAAGAGAUGGGUCAGUGAUGGUGUAGACUGGUCAGUGAGGAGAUGGAUCAGUGAUGGUGUAGGCUGUUGGGUGAGGAGAUGGGUCAGUGAUGGUGUAGAGACUGUUGGGUGAGGAGAUGGGUCAGUGAUGGUGUAGAGACUGUUGGGUGAGGAGAUGGGUCAGUGAUGGUGUAGACUGGGAGGUGAGGAGAUGGGUCAGUGAUGGUGUAGAGACUGUUGGGUGAGGAGAUGGGUCAGUGAUGGCGUAGAGACUGUUGGGUGAGGAGAUGGGUCAGUGAUGGUGUAGACUGGGGGGUGGGGAGAUGGGUCAGUGAGGAGAUGGGUCAGUGAUGGUGUAGACUGUUGGGUGAGGAGAUGGGUCAGUGAUGGUGUAGACUGGGGGGUGAGGAGAUGGGUCAGUGAUGGUGUAGAGACUGUUGGGUGAGGAGAUGGGUCAGUGAUGGUGUAGACUGGGAGGUGAGGAGCUGGGUCAGUGAUGGUGUAGAGACUGUUGGGUGAGGAGAUGGGUCAGUGAUGGCGUAGACUGGUCAGUGAGGAGAUGGGUCAGUGAUGGUGUAGACUGGUCAGUGAAGAGAUGGGUCAGUGAUGGUGUAGACUGGUCAGUGAGGAGAUGGAUCAGUGAUGGUGUAGGCUGUUGGGUGAGGAGAUGGGUCAGUGAUGGUGUAGAGACUGUUGGGUGAGGAGAUGGGUCAGUGAUGGUGUAGAGACUGUUGGGUGAGGAGAUGGGUCAGUGAUGGCGUAGACUGGUCAGUGAGGAGAUGGGUCAGUGAUGGUGUAGACUGGUCAGUGAAGAGAUGGGUCAGUGAUGGUGUAGACUGGUCAGUGAGGAGA